CAGCAGCCACGGGAAUACGGAGGGUGCAAGCGUUAAUCGGAAUUACUGGGCGUAAAGCGCACGCAGGCGGUUUGUUAAGUCAGAUGUGAAAUCCCCGAGCUUAACUUGGGAACUGCAUUUGAAACUGGCAAGCUAGAGUCUUGUAGAGGGGGGUAGAAUUCCAGGUGUAGCGGUGAAAUGCGUAGAGAUCUGGAGGAAUACCGGUGGCGAAGGCGGCCCCCUGGACAAAGACUGACGCUCAGGUGCGAAAGCGUGGGGAGCAAACAGGAUUAGAUACCCCUGUAGUCCCUGUCUCUUAUAC
rnacentral:rRNA from 1 species